UAAAAAUGAAAAUUAAAUAUCUUUCACCACGCCGAUCGCUAGCGAGAAGGAUUUAAUUUUUGAGUCCGCAAAGCACAAUAGUGGUUGAUCGCCAUUCAGAAAUGGUUCACGAACUAUAUUGUGCAGAGUGAAUGGUACGAGAAGAGGAAGGGUUGCAGGGGUCAAGCGAUUUAGGUAAAUAAGAUAAAUAAAUAAGGAGUAAGAUCGUAAUUUCACAUGAUUUAAUUGGCUCACGAAAACUCAUGUUGCAGCAUUAUAUAUAUAAUAGAUAAUAGAUAGAUUAGCAAGAGAAUAAUCAGUGAAGUAACAAUGUGCCUAUAUAAAAUACUGGAAUACAUAUCUAGUAUCUACCAUGGAAGAAUUAAGGGGAAGAACGAACUAUUAAUCAUCCACGACGUUUUGUGCUCAAAAGAUAUAUUUUAUUUGUGAAUUCACAAAAUAAAUGACUAAGUGGUUGUUAAAUGAAAUACAUUAAAUGUGUACAAGGCCAAACUGGUAUUCUUGAAUAUGCAAUUGGUCUUCCAAAAAUGUAUUGCAUAACAAUCUUAUACUCAACAUAACUUAAUUAUCAAUCAUGUUAUAGUUGACCAAAGUUAUAAGAUGAUCUACUGUUAGCUGGCUUUGAAUAUUGUUACAGGAUAUUGCCACAAUAUCGCAGAAAUAUUCCCGAAGGUCAUAUAGGUAGACAUUCAAACCUUUCUUUUGGUACCAAUCUCUGUAGUUACUGGCAGGUAUCCAUGUGAAAUUACUCUGAACUCGUGGACAUUUUUUAAAAGCACUCCCCACAUCACUUACUAAUGUAGAAUGUUCUAUAUUCUUAUCUGUAAUGGGAAGAGCGUAAGAACAAAUAGCCGAAAAUAAGAUGAGUAUCUAUAGUAUUUUUAGAGAAGCAUUCGCGCCAUUGGCACUCACUUGCAUAAACUUCGAAAGAAAAUUCUGCAAAUAAAUGGAAUAGGAUGGACAUACUGAUCGAAAAACAAAGCUCCACACACUCUCUCUCCAUCUCUCUCUCACACAGACUCUCACGCCUCUCUCUCUCCCCCUUCAAGCUUUAACCCCACGAUAGACUUGGAUGAGAUGCCUGAAUCACAAACUCGCCGGACCUACCACCGCCGAACCCAAUGGAGACAUUAUUCCGUUUCGAAGACGACAACGUCGUUGCAGACUUCAACGGAGGGGUCGAGUCACAGAUCGUGUAUGACUCGAGGACUCGCAAGCAUAACAAUUCAAUGGGUGGGUCUUCCUUUUUUCAUUAUCAUAUACUUUGUGUUUGUGUAUAUGUUUGACUGACUUCGUUUUUCAUUUUUCAAAAUAGUCUUCUUAGGGUUUCUAUCCUUGAGUUAGGAUUUUUCACCAAUUACGAAAGGUAUUCUUUCUCUAAUCUUUCUAUUCUCCACUUUUGAUCAGUUACUUUUUGUAUAUAUAUGUAUGAUUAUUCUGGCUGUUGAUUUUCAAUUAAAUAAUCUAGGGUUCUUGUUUGUUAAAGAUUGAAUCUUUUUGCAUAUCUGAAUCACGGGCUUUGAUUUUUGUGCUAUGAUCUUGUAUAUUAAUGUGAAAAUAUGCUUCAACUUUGCAAGCUAUGUUAUAUGUUUACUGCAUAGUAUGAUUCAGGACUGGGGCCUUGGAUUUAGUAGUUACUAAUUUCAUUGAAAUAUUUUGUGGGUUUAUAAUCCAGAAGACAGAAAAAUCUGGCUUAUAAUCACUCUGUUUUAUCAUGUAGGAUUCUUGCUAAUAGGCAAUCUGGAGCGCCAUUAAAGGAGCGAAAAACUUGUUAUACAAUUGAGCUGAAGAGGAAGGUACACACUCUCGAACUGAAGCAGUCUUAUGGUGGUUUGGCCUUAUUAUUUGGUGUUGGUUUGUUAUACAUUUUAGUGGGCCAGUAGCAGUCGAAAGUGUUACAAAAUGGAGGAGCCGGAUGUGGUCCGUAUAGAGACG
rnacentral:lncRNA from 1 species